AGACGCGUAUUAUUACGUCAGAUCUCCUUAAAGGGGAACGCAACGCGAUCAGUAAGUGAGAGUGCACCGCAGCUCGUCCCAAAUUUCGCACAGGUUGAGGAAAAGCCAAAAGAGUUGCAAAGAGAGAAAACUGGCAUCGGCUUAGCGCUGACAAAUUGUGCAAAGACAACACGUUGUGAAUAUUUCUGACGAUGAGAUUCCUGAAACAACCGCUCAAGACCUUUUGAAUCUGAGCUUCACACAAGUUGAGGGCAUCGUGACUAUCAGUGCUUAUGACGGAGAUAUUUCCAGUGAGUUGAGUUGACGUUCAACACAACCUCGAAUUACAGGAGCUCUGCACAGCAUGGCGUGAAUUCUUCCAAGUAAAGAUGGCUUUAUUGGAAAACUUUGGACAGAUUGAUAAUACAAUUGAAUCUGGUCAAGGUACGUUUUUUUUUUUCCUUUACUGUACAACACACUUGAAAACGUGAAUAGAUGCCUUACAGUGAAAAUAAAGUUGAUUAGAAAAUUGUAUGAUCGAUAUGGCUCAGAAACGCCCAAAAAGCAGUUCGAAUACAGAGACUAAAAAAAUGAGAACCGAAAAUUCUCCAUUACCCAAUGAUUUCUAUUACGAUGGAAACCAGAAUUCUUCAAAUGGCCCGUUACAUCAUGAUCUGUACCCAACCCUGAACCCAUGUUUAACUGAAGCGAUCAACCGGCUGAAUGAAAGUUUAAUUCCAUCACACCUUGUUGUUAGUGAAAGACCUAAUCAGAGUCCAAAUUACGACUUAUCAAACACACCGGUGAUGCCAUACAAUAUAUUUUCUGAAUUAAAUCAAUGUCUGCUAGAGUUACAAAAUAACCUAAAUGAACACGGUCAUUCAGAACUAUUAAACCCUGAUCUAAUCGAUGCAGUCAAUCAGUUGAAUGAAAAUUUAAGACCGUCAGACCAGAGCAAUACAGAAAAUGAAAACACCAGCCGAAAUUCCAGUCAAACUGUAUCAAGUACGCCAGUGACGUCACAUGACAUAUUUUUCUAAUUAAAUCAAUGUCUGUUAGAGUUACAAUAUAACCUAAACAAACAAAGACAAUCUAUGCAGAUAAAUCCUUGUUGAAUAGAUUUUAAAGCAUCAUGAAACACUAAACUACUUUUUCUGAGAUUUUAACAGAGGUGUUCGUAUCGCACAUCAUAAAAGACAACCUUAGCAUCUGUUAAUUUAUUUUUAGGAGAAAGCUGGUUAAAUUUGAGCCUAUUAGCUAACUAGCAUUCCAACAUUUCUCUCAUCCGCGCUGCCUCUGGCUCAAAGAAAACAAUAAUAAAAUAUAUUAUAAAAACUGUACAUACAAUAUAUAAUAUAAGAUUAAAACUCCGUGGGCCAUUGCAUGUAAAAUUAUGCAACAAGAGUCCGUGUUGAAGGGAAUAACCUUCGCCUUUUUAUUCAUAAAAAGCUCGAGCCUAUUAGCUAUCUACUAUUCCAACAUUUCUUUCAUCCGCGCUGCCUCCGAUUUUGUUAUGUUUUCCUCCAUAGUCACGCCAGGAGCUAAUGAUUCAAAUAGACAGGGCGUAGGACUUGCAGUGCUAUCUACUGUGUCUCCAUUUAGCCCUGGGGAUUCAGGAGGAGAAAAGUCAUCUGCCUCAUCUGCAACCUUUGUCAGUAUCCAUCUUUUUUUUGCAUGUUGUGAAGGCUCGCCUCCUUCUUCCUCUCCUGCCUUUCCCUGCCACACCCCUGCCCCUCCCUUCUUCGCACAGCCAUCCACGUCCAUUUAAACUGCAUUUUUCAAAAACAUUGAGAGGUAGACUUGAGCUGAAAGAGGGAGGUUUCAUGACCCUUUAAUGAGAGUGUGCACUUGAGCUGGCAUGGACUAAAGAAGUUUGUGCAAAACUUUAUGGUCCAUUUUAAAUCAAAUCCAUCGGACUGUCAUCUGAACUCAUGCUUCAAUAGAAGAGAUUAGGCAUGAGGAAAAUCUCACCUUUUGUACAAAGCAGUUAACAUAUCAAUAGCACACAUUUUCUUACAUUUAAAUUGGAACCUACUGAUCACGCAGAAUCUUGAAUAUUAAAUAUUCAAGAUGUUGAACAUUUACUUUUGUUUGUUUAAAUAUUUCACAUUUCAAAAACCUUCUGUUUAUUUACAAUUUAAAAUCUGACUUUUGGACCCUACUGUACAUAUUUUACAAAUUCUAAAAUCAUACAGCAUGUUUGUUCAAUACCUAACCUGUAAUUACCUGUAAUUCAUAAAUAAUAAUGUGUGGCCAGGAGGGCAGUUUGCUCUUCACUGUAUUUUCACAUAAUACUAUAAUACAUGGGUACAAGUGAACACUUAAAAAGUUAAUAUCAUAGGUUAUUUCAAGAAAUGGGAUUUUGAUAGUUUAUUGUCUGUGCUAAAAAAUAGUCACCUACUCUAAUAACCACUCACAUAGGAUUCCAGUCACCAUUCCCAAAAGAUUCCAGUUAACUACAUAGUAAGAGUUAAUUGCUGUAUUAAAUUUUCAGUCAAUUAAAUUUUAUUUGUAUAGCACUUUUAACAAUGGACAUUGUCUUAAAGCAGCUUUCCAGAAGCAUAUAAACACAGGACACAGAUUUUAAGCGUGUGAAUUUAUCCCUACUGAGCAAGCCGGUGGCAACUCUGGCAAGGAAAAACUCCCUAAGAUGAUAUGAGGAAGAAACCUUGAGAAGGCCCAGACUCUGAAGGGAACCCAUCCUCAUCUUGGUAACACCGGAAAGUGUGAAAGUAAAAGAAAGUUCAUUAUGGUUUUUAUAUGAAGUCUGUUUGUUGAACUAGUCCACUGUUCUCUACAGGAGACUUGAGUGCAAAAUUGUAUGUGGUAAUUGCAAUCCUAAGGCCAUCACAGCAACCUUAGUCCCAGCAACCACAGCAAGAAUGUCCAUGUGGAAUUGAAGUCCAAAACCAUUUCUAUUUAUCAAAUCUCUUCACUGCAGUCAAAUACAGCAGUUUUAUCUCUGUAAUGCAAUACCCUAUUGCUUGAUCAAAUUAUUUGUUAGGUGAUAAGGCUAAUGCUAUAUUUCAUAUACAAUAUAUUAUAUAGAUAAACAAUAUAUCAACUUGAUAGCCUAUCCGAGUGAUUCAGAGAAAUUUGACUGAAUAACAUAAAAAUAGACAUAACAUACUUAUGUAAGGUUUUAAGGCUGAAAUUAAAUGGUUGUACUGGCCAUGAAAAACAAAAAGUAUUAAACAAAUUGGUCAAAGAAAACAGCCCUGCAUAUGCUCAUUCCAAGUAGAAUCUACUGCUCAUUGUGAGAUCUGCAGAAAAAAUCAUUGGCUGCCAGCAUCCCCCAACUUACAGACCUGCACUCAACUAGAAUGAGGUAAAAAAAAUGGGGAAACUCAUUACCCAUUCUUCCUUCUCUCUUCUAGCAGUUCUCCUUUCAGAUAGAGAUUGAGAUUAACCAAGACCUGCACACUUUUCCGAAAGCAAUGGCAGUGUUAGCUCAGGGCUUAAAGCUUUGGGUUGCUAAGUGGAAAGUUGUGAGCUUAAAUCUCAGCACCACCAAGCUGCCACUGUUGGGCCCUUGAGCAAGGCCCUUAGCCGUCAACUGCUCAGUUAUGUACUGUCUUAGUUGCAAGUUGCUUUGGAUAAACAUCAGCAAAAUUAGGUAAAUAUUGUAUAUAAAUAAUUAACUCUAAUGUAUGUCAAUAAUAAAUGUAAAUAAUCCUUUUGAACAAGGACCCUUAACACAUCACACCUCUAUAAUCUGUCUGACAUCUGACAGUUAACACUUAUCAAUAACAGCCCAUUGCACUGUAAUUAUAUGUAAUCCCUGAUGUUUACUAUGAAUUAUUGUUUUGUUUAUUGUAAAUUACUGUAUAUUAUGUACAUUAUUGAAUAUAGUGUACAUUGUGUUCUUUCUUGUUCACUCCAGCACCGGUCCUUCCUUGCUUCCCCUCAGCACCAUGGACAGUACCACUAAUCUCCAAUCUGGAUCUGGGUCCUAAAGAUCCAGUCCAGUGCGCUUUAUUUCAUUUUUGUCAUGCUCCCAGGUUCUAACAUCUGUCAAGGCUGACCUGACCUAAUCACCAGUGAUGGGUGUACUUUUUGUUACUUUUUACACCUUAAAAAUUCAACCUACAAAAUGAGCCAAUUCAUUAAUUCAUAAUUUGUGUCCUAAACAAAACUUAAUGGUAGAAGGUCUUUGCCUGUUCUAACAUGCUCUUGUUGUCACUCUCACAAGUGAAGAAGCACUGUAUUUCUGGACUUAAAAGCUAAGCAUUGCAAUCAGUAUUAUUUUAAUAAAGCCUCAUGUAAAACAUGUUAAACUUUGCAAACACUAAACUUAUUUCAUUGGAUUAAUAAACAUAUUUUUAACCACAAAGUGGUAACACAUAUCAGCCAUGGGCCAAUCACAGUGACUUCUAGCAUGAUGCCUGCAAACUGAAUGCACAGACCAUAUAUACUCAGUAAAAAAUGAAACAUUCCUUUUUCAGGAGACUAAAAUCCAAUGAAUCCAGUAAAAUCCAAAUAAGCUUUACAGAUCUUUAUUGGAAAGGGUUUAAACAAUGUUCUUCAUGCUUGUCCAGUGAACCAUAAACAAUUGUUCCACAUGCACCUGUGUAAUAGUCCUUCAGACAGUUUACAGAUGGUAGGCAAUUAAGGUCACAGUUACAAUUACUUAGGACACUAAAGGGACCUUUCUACUGUCUCUGAAAAACAAUAGAAGAAAGAUGCUUAGGGUGCCUGUUCACCUGCAUGAACAUGCCAUAGGCCUGCUGCAGGGAAACAUAAGGACUGCACAUGUGGCCAGAGCAAUAAACUGCAAUGUCUGUAAUGUAAGAUGCCUAAGACAGUGUUACAGAGAAACAGGAAGGACAGCUGAUUGUCCUUGCAGUGGCAAACCACGUGUAACCAUGUCCCCCCAGACGUGAUUGAGAACUUGCAAAUGCCUUCGUGGAAGAGUGGGGUAACAUCUCACAGCAAGAACUGACAAAUCUGGUGCAGUCCAUGAGGAUGAGAUGCCCUGUAAUACAAAGCAGCUGGUGGCCACCAGAUACUGAACGUUACUUUUAAUAUCGACCCCCAUUUGUUCAGAGACUCAUUAAUCCAUUUCUGUUCGUCAAAUGUCUGUUAAACUUGUUCAGUUUAUGUCUCAGUUGUUGAAUGUUUUUAUGUUAAUGCAAAUAUUUACACAUGUUAAGAAAUUUGCUGGAAAUAAAAGCAGCUGA